AUUGAACGCUGGCGGCAGGCCUAACACAUGCAAGUCGAGCGAGCGGCGGACGGGUGAGUAAUGUAUGGGGAACUGCCCGAUAGAGGGGGAUAACUACUGGAAACGGUGGCUAAUACCGCAUACUAUCGGAUGAACCCAUAUGGGAUUAGCUAGUCGGUGGGGUAAAGGCUCACCAAGGAGACGAUCACUAGCUGGUCUGAGAGGAUGAUCAGCCAAACUGGCACUGAGACACGGCCCAGACUCCUACGAGAGGCAGCAGUGGGGAAUAGUUCACAAUGGGCGCAAGCCUGAUGCAGCCAUGCCGCGUGUAUGAAGAAGGCUUUAGGGUUGUAAAGUACUUUCAGCGGGGAGGCGUUACCCGCAGAAGAAGCACCGGCUAACUCCGUGCCAGCAGCCGCGGUAAUUC
rnacentral:rRNA from 1 species